AGUGAACGCUGGCGGUAUGCCUAACACAUGCAAGUCGAACGGCAGCACAGGAAGAGCUUUCUCUUACGGGUGGCGAGUGGCGGACGGGUGAGGAAUACAUCGGAAUCUACUUUUUCGGGGGGGAUAACGGAGGGAAACUGACGCUAAUACCUCAUACAACCUACGGGUGAAAGCAGGGGAGCUUCGGACCUUGCGCGAUUGAAUUAGCCGAUGUCGGCUUGGCUAGUUGGCGGGGUAAAGGCCCACCCAGGCCACGAACCGUAGCUGGUCCGAGAGGAUGAUCCGCCCCACCGGAACUGAGACACGGUCCCGACUCCCAAGGGAGGCCGCCGUGGGGAAUACUGGCCCAUUGGCCCAAGCCUGAUCCAGCCAUCUCGCGUGGGUGAAGAAGGCCUUCGGGUUCUAAAGCCCUUUUGUUUGGAAAGAAACGCAGCAGGUUAAUACCCCGCUGUUCUGACGGUACCCUAAGCAUAAGCCCCGGCUAACUUCGUG
rnacentral:rRNA from 1 species